rnacentral:rRNA from 1 species
UACGUAGGGGGCCAGCGUUGCUCGGAAUUACUGGGCGUAAAGGGUCCGUAGGCGGUGUAGCAAGUCGAUAGUGAAAUCUCUGGGCUUAACCCAGAGGCUGCUAACGAAACUGCUGUGCUAGAGUGUGAGAGAGGCGAGUGGAAUUACGGGUGUAGCGGUGAAAUGCGUAGAUAUCCGUAGGAACAUCCGAGGCGAAGGCGGCUCGCUGGAUCACAACUGACGCUGAGGUACGAAGGCAUGGGUAUCGAUCGGG